UAAAUAACCUGGGUGGUUUGAGCCCUGAAUGCUGACACGUACACCAUGUAUGACUAUACAUUUAUUUUUACUGCUCUAAUUACAGUAUGAAAACAGAGAGCCGAAUGAAGGACAGGGAGGAAGGGAAUCAGGGUAAAGAGCAGAUUUCUCCCCUUUCAGUUCCUAUUUAAGCCUCUAGACGGCUGUUUAUGCAAAGCCUCCUUCCCCUCCAUCCCUUAAUAAUCAGACACUUACACCUGGUCAUUAACAAUGUGGACUGUCUGAAGUUUAGUUCUCAUGGUGAUGUCUGUAAUAAGUAAGUGACAAUAUUCUGUCCACUAAAAUGAAUGUCUCAUCAUUUUCAUGAAUUCUUUCAAAAUCAUCUGCUACAACGGUGUCUAUCAACUUGUUUAAAGAUGUCACUGUUCAUGUGUAUGAAUGUUUCCACUCUAAAGUUUUUGGUAUUUUAUUUCCACAGGGGUUCAUGGUCAGACACUGACUGAGUCUGGAACAGUGGUCAAAACGCCUGGAGAAAAACCAACUGACAUGUACAUAUGAUGGGUUUGGAUGAAAUAUUGAUGCAGCUUGGAUCAGACAGGCUCCUGGAAAAGGACUGGAGUGAGUUUCUUAUAAUAGCAGUGGUAGUUGUUCUGCUACCCCCAGUCAGUUCAUGGUCGGUUCACCAUCUCCAGAGACAACAGCAAGCAGCAGCUUGGACUGACAUUAUAACAUUACAAGUCCUGUACUAACUAAUACUGGACAAUGAGGACUGCCUGGACUUUAGUACUCAUGGUGUUGUCUGUAAAAAGUGUUCAGGGUCAGACACUGACGGAGUCUGAAUCAGUGGUUAAAAAGCCUGGAGAUCCCCACAAACUGACCUGUACAUAUUCUGGGUUUGGUGGCAACAAUUGGAAUGCUUGGAUCAGACAGGCUCCUGGGAAAGGACUGG